AUAGUACUCCCUCCGUUCCGAAUUACUUGUCGCGGGUAUGGAUGUAUCUAGAUGUAUUUUAGUUCUAGAUACAUCCAUUUCUGCGACGAGUAAUUUGAAACGGAGGGAGUAGAAC
rnacentral:pre_miRNA from 1 species